rnacentral:rRNA from 1 species
AGGGGACAAACGGGGGCAUUCGUAUUGCGGCGUUAGAGGUGAAAUUCUUGGAUCGCCGCAAGACGGGCUACUGCGAAAGCAUUUGUCAAGAAUGUUUUCAUUAAUCAAGAACGAAAGUCAGAGGCGCGAAGACGAUCAGAUACCGUCGUAGUUCUGACCAUAAACGAUGCCGACCGGCGAUCCGCGGGAGUUGAUUCGAUGACUCCGCGGGCGGCCUCCGGGAAACCUGAGUCUNNNNNGAGCCUGCGGCUUAUUUGACUCAACACGGGAAAACUCACCCGGUCCGGACCCGCGACGAUUGACAGAUUGACAGCUCUUUCUUGAUUCGGUGGCUGGUGGUGCAUGGCCGUUCUUAGUUGGUGGAGCGAUUUGUCUGGAUGAUUCCGAUAAC